UGGCCAUCAUGAACAUGUCACAGUGCUG
rnacentral:piRNA from 1 species